rnacentral:piRNA from 1 species
UNGCAGUGUUUGCCUGUAGGUCUUUAAG